rnacentral:rRNA from 1 species
UGGGGAAUCUUGCACAAUGGGGGCAACCCUGAUGCAGCGACGCCGCGUGAGCGAUGAAGCCCUUCGGGGCGUAAAGCUCUCUCGACCGGAACGAUAAUGACGGUACCGGGAGAAGAAGCUGCGGCUAACUACGUGCCAGCAGCCGCGGUAAUACGUAGGCAGCAAGCGUUGUUCGGAGUUACUGGGCGUAAAGAGUGCGUAGGCGGUUUUCUAAGUUCGGUGUGAAAUCUCCCGGCUUAACAGGGAGGGUGCGCCGAAGACUGGGAAGCUGGAGUGUGGGAAAGGCAGGCGGAAUUCCUGGUGUAGCGGUGAAAUGCGUAGAUAUCAGGAGGAACACCGGCGGUGUAGACGGCUUGCUAGACCAUAACUGACGCUGAGGCACGAAAGCGUGGGUAGCAAACA